GUUGUUAUGCCAACGUCAGUUUGUCGUUACGCUUUGACACUGAAGGAAACCCAAGCCUAACGUCCGAAAGGAAAAAAGAUCAAUCCAGAAGUGAAAACCGACGUGAAGCCAGUGCUCAACGUUAUGCUUUUCACCACGAAGCUCAGAGAGGAACUUCAGCAGGCCAUUGCAUUGGAUGACCUCGAGCGGCACCACGGCAGCCCAAGCCCGACAUCAAGCCCAAGCCCGUCACAGUCGCUCUAUAUAUAGCCUAUCGAUUUAUCUAUAAUCUGCGCUGUCUACUGCUGAACAAUCCCUUACUCGUCUCUCUUUACUCC